UGUUCCACAGGUACCACGAGUGGCCCCGGGGUCACGCGCCCACAGACUAUGCCCGCUGGCGGGAGGCUCAGACCCCAUACCGUGUGCAGUGGGCCGCUGACUAUGAGCCCUACGUGGUGGUGCCACGUGAUUGUCCCCGCUAUGACCCCCGGUUUGUGGGCUUUGGCUGGAACAAGGUGGCCCACAUCGUGGAGCUGGAUGCGCAGGAAUAUGAGCUCCUGGUGCUGCCCGAGGCCUUCACCAUUCACCUGCCGCAUGGCCCAAGCCUGGACAUCUCUCGCUUCCGCUCCAGCCCCACCUAUCGUGACUGCCUCCAGGCCGUCAAGGAUGAGUUCCACCAGGACUUGUCCCGUCGCUAUGGGGCUGCUGCCCUCAAAUACCUCACUGCCCUGCGGCAGCCCCGAAGCCCCGCCUGACCUGGUGCGUGGCUCACCCCUGCCCCCCGCUUGGCUCUCACAGGCCCCCUGCGGACACUGGAGCAACGCUGCCACCCUCCCCACCCUCCCCGCUAUUUAAAUUAUUGAAGGUCUCAGUGGAAAGGGCUUCAGUUGGAGCACCUGCGGGGUGGGUCCUGGGGGCCUCCCCUUGCUGCUAUCUAUGGCUGGGGUCUACUCUCUCGGUGCCCCAGCUGUUUGGGGCUGGUUUCCCCAUCUUCAUCUGUACAUCCCUUUUUCAUAAUUAAAGUUCUUCAAGCUCUUU